UGGGGAAUAUUGCACAAUGGGCGCAAGCCUGAUGCAGCGACGCCGCGGGGGGGAUUAAGGCCUUCGGGUUGUAAACUCCUUUCGCUAGGGACGAAGCCUUUUUAGGUGACGGUACCUGGAGAAGAAGGACCGGCUAACUACGUGCCAGCAGCCGCGGUAAGACGUAGGGUGCGAGCGUUGUCCGGAAUUACUGGGCGUAAAGAGCUCGUAGGUGGUUUGUCGCGUCGUCUGUGAAAUCCCGGGGCUUAACUUCGGGCGUGCAGGCGAUACGGGCAUAACUUGAGUGCUGUAGGGGGGACUGGAAUUCCUGGUGUAGCGGUGAAAUGCGCAGAUAUCAGGAGGAACACCAAUGGCGAGGGCAGGUCUCUGGGCAGUAACUGACGCUGAGGAGCGAAAGCAUGGGUAGCGAACAGG
rnacentral:rRNA from 1 species